rnacentral:lncRNA from 1 species
AAGUUGACCAUAAGCCUUGUGCAAAUACCCUAAGAUCUUACAAGGUAGGGUAUCCAACUGAAUUGGCUAAUAUAUAAAAAUAUAUAUUUUUACCAUACAACCAAGGUGUAGCCUAGUGGUUGGUGAAGUGAGUACAAACCUUGGAAACCAGGGUUCAAAUCUUAGCAGAGACAAAACAUACAAGAUAUUUCUUUCCGUCAACCUUAAGUCAUGGUAAGGUAUUUCUUUCCGUCAACCUUAAGUCAUGGUUUGCAUAGUUACCUGAUGCUUGUGAAUAGUCGAGAAGUGUGCAAGUUGGCCCAUACACCAUUGUCACAAAGCUAUUGCGCCACGGUCCCAAACAAGUAGGGGUUGGCCAUAUGAUAGCUCACUAACCAUUUUUUCCAUUUAAAUUCAUUUCAAGCAAACACUACAC